GCUGAAUUUAUAGUCCAUUGCAUUCAAUUUUGCUACGACGCAUGCUUCUCUAGCUAACUGCACAAACCUUUCCACAUGUGAUUUAUACUAGCGGGUAGUGCGCGGCGGCACGCCGCGCUACAUGGAUUGAUAAGCUACUAGCGGGUAGUGCGCGGCGGCACGCCGCGCCACAAGGAGUGAUAAGCUAUUUAGUUUUUUUAAUAUUUGAUAAGUCAUCUCAAAAUUUGAUUCAUGGUAAAGUAGUUUAUACAAGGCCCUGUUGGUUUGCUUGAGGUUUGUUGUUUUUGUGAAGUUUUUGAGAAUUUGUUGUAUGUUUUACAUGUGUGUAUCUUUGUAGUGGCCAAGAGAAUAAUUGUGCACUACCCAACUUAUGUUGCUCCCACCGUGAUCACUGAAUUAACACAUGGGUUGGAAGUCGGCAACACUUUAAGCACACUAACUUGGCAUAGAUGUUCUGGAAAACUAAAUCCGCAAGAGACAAAUUCAGGUUGCUACAGAGAAGACAUGACUCUGAAUGGAAAAAAUUAUUGAAGUUGGUAGAAUUGCACCCCCUGUUAUCAUUCACACUACCUUGCAUAUUCCAGCCAACAUAGAAUAUACUGUCAACAUUAUGCCAAAAAAAAAACACAACUGAAUUAUUAACUGAGAAUAGAGUACAUGUACAACAUAUUCUAUCUGAAUAGUAAAAUACUUCUAUUAGUAUCUAGAGAAUUUCUUGCAUUUAUCCAUCUUGUUAGUAUCACAUAUUUUGGACAUUGGUGCUGUCAUGCGAAGAUCUCCAUAAAUGCAACAACAUAUUUGUUGACAAAGGUAUAUCUUCAUAAAACCAUACUCUGCUACCCCAUAUCAGUAGUAGCAUUAUAAUCACAGCCUUGAGAUUCUAUUUGUGAAGAUAUAGAAUGGCACAGCUACACAAAUAAUUUAAGCACCAAUUGUGUUUUACCUUCAGUUCUACUAUCUAGAGGAAAAAAACGAAGAGAAAUAAAUAAAUUAGGAGCAGCAAGUCACCAACACCACCUGUCCACUCACCUACCCCCUUCUGCGCACCACCUGUCCAACCCCCUGCUGCGCUAAGCUAAACAACACACCGCGAAAGACUACCACCAUCUUCCGCCGAUCGCCGGCCACCUCCGGCCUGCCUACGCGAGCUCCUCCCGACGGCGCCACCCCCCUCACCUCGACGCGGGAACACUGCCGUCGGAGGAGGAGGAGAUGGAGUUCCUGUACGAUUGUGCCGCCAUCGCCACCGUCGUCGUCGCGGACGUGGCGGCCGCGCUCGUGGGCACCGCCGGUAUCCAGGCGUCCUCUCCCUCUGCCGUCGCGUCCGAGAGAGGUACCGGAGCGGCCAGCUGAAGAGGGCUCUGUGCGAGGCUGAAGCCUACGCCUUCAAGGUAUAAAAUCCUUCUCGAUUCGGUUCAGUAGUUGCUCAACUCAGAUGGCUGAAUUUGUUCCAAUUCUAUCGAUUCCUUUCCUGGGACAGAAUUUAGAGUAUGAUGUUCUGUAGCGAGUGAAUUGCAGAAAACAUCGACAUUAAAGGCUAGGGUUACAGAAACCACACUUCUACAGUUUUGUGCCAAAAAACACUAAUUCCGAGGCUAAUUUUUUGCAAAUAACACUAGUUGGCGGCUUUGGCCCAUUUAGUGACGAUUAUGACAGGUGGGACCCGUAAAAGCUGACGUGGCAUAGCGGUUGACAUUUGACAAUGUUAGGCAGGGGAUUUAUACAGAUUUACAAAACAGUCCCUGUAAUUUCACAAAGACACCCUCAUUCGAAAAUGAAAAAAGCAAUCAGCCCCCACCCCGUCGCCUGCCUCCUCGUCUGUCCUCCACGGAGGUGGCAGCGUGCUCGUGGCCAGCGCCGGCGGUCGGCGCUGCUCGGCCAGCGCCGGAGAGGUGCGGGGGAGCUGCUGGCGGCCGGCACAGGGAGGUACGGGGAGUUGUUGGUCAGCCGGCGCAGGCCCCUACUUCUUCUCGGCCGGUGCAGGGAUGAUACAGUAGAGCUGCUGGUCGGCCGGCGCAGGCCCCUACUUCUUCUCGGCCGGUGCAGGGAUGAUACAGUAGAGCUGCUGGUCGGCCGGCGCACGGAGCUGCUACUGCUUGGACGUCGCAGGGAGAUGCCUCUGCUUGGCCGCCGCAUGAGGAGGCGCUGUGGAGCUGCUGCUCGUGGCUCGGCGGCCUCGGCCCGCAUGCCGGUGCGCUCGAGCUCCACCGGCUCGGACGUCAGUCAACGGUGACGGCGCAGCUUGUGAGGCCGGGAGGAAAAAAGGAUCUGCUGCGGUGUGGCUGGAGUCCCCACCCUCGACGUCGUGCUUGACUGCCAUGAUGCGGUCGAAUUCUGCGAGCUGGCUGAGAGGGAAGGGCGCGACGGCAAAGGUCCACAACCAUGGCGAUGGGCGGUGGCGGCUCGUUUUCCCGGCCAGAUUCUGGCGGAUACGUAGGGGUGGCGGCGUGCACAGGCCUGCCGCCGGCGGCGGCGUUCACGGGCGGCCGUCGAGGGGACUGUGACGGUCAACAGGCGGUAGCGGCUUGUUUUCCUGGCUGAACUCCCCAUGUUUUUCUUUUCUUGAGCAUAUGGGAGUCGCUAUUUGUUUCUUAAGAAAGGAGUUUUUUGCAAAAAGAAAAGUCUAACGACGUCUAGUCCGAACCGUUAUGCCACGUCAGCUUUUGCGGGCUCCAUCUAUCAUAAUCAGGGUUAAAACGAGCAAACUGAGUGACUAGUGUUUUCUGCAAAAAAAAUAGCCUCAGAAUUAGUGGUUUUUGGCAUAAAACUAUAAAAGUGUGGUUUCUGCAACCCUAGCCUUUAAUGUCGAUGUUUUUUGCAAUUCACUCUUCUGUAGCUGUGAGUGCUUCAGGUGUGCCUUUGAUUUGUUCAUUGAUGUUGAUAGCUAGUACAAUUGAUUGGAUACAUCUCCCGCCUCGCCUCCUCUGACACGUACGAUUCUCGCCAUCUCACUCAUGUUCUCGUGGUGCUGUGGGCCAACAUCGGUGGAGCUGCGCAUGGGAUGAGCAGAUUGGCCUUGCUCCUGAAUUCUGGCCGUGUUUGGGCUGGCCGGCGAAUAUGUCUAAUUCCGGUGCUUUGGGUGCUUCAGCUUCGGUUCCUUUGCUUCCCUUAAUGUUCUGGUGGCCGUGCGUUUCCUCGGCUUCUUCUGCCUGUGUUGAGCUUUCCUGAAUCCCUGGCGAGUAAUUGUUUUUUCUAGAAUGCUCAGUUCCUGGGUGGAUGCUUAUGAAUCAGAUAAGUGGACUUGGGCACUUGACUCUUUUUUAAUAGGAAAAAUAGUGAUUAAAUUCUUAUAAUUCAGGGCGACCCGGCAUUGUUUUCUAGCAAAAGGCAGCUUUUACUAAUAUUACUGUCUAGGUUGAUGAACUGGUGCAUUUGUUGUGACUGAUAUAUAAUUUCUAAUUUUGAUAGUCUGACUGAUACAUUUCCACCCCUCAAUUUCUCUUGGUUAUGUGCACCGUGGCCUCUUAACUGAUAUAGUACUCUUGUUUCGUUGAUGAAAUGGAACAAAGAGGUGCAGCUCCUGUAUUUCGAGAAGUGAAAAUCUUAUGGUUAUAUUGUACAUUGGUGCUACCACGUCAGGUAAGUGGUAGAUCCCUGCAUCCAAUACCAGUUUAGACAGUAAUACUGGUUAAAUUAAAUCAUGAUCAACAGUUAAAAUCUGCUAUAAGUUAAGGUGAAUGGUCCCUUGAAUUGUAUGUCUGGUUCACAUGAUGAAUCCUUUGUGCAGGGAGUUCUAGUGAUCCAUUAUAUAGGGAGCUAUGGCAUGCUUGCGCUGGGCCGUUGGUGCUUCGCCAAGGUGAAAGAGUUUACUACUUCCACAUGGACAUAUGGAACAGGUAUAUCUCAUCGGCAUGGGUGUUUGCUUUUCUUGAUGGCCAAUAACUAUGAAUUUGCUACUCAGUGCAAACAGUAGCUACUUCUAUUAUGGAACGAUACUUGCUUCUUGUGUUAAAAUGACAAUGUGACUUUGUU